AUUGAACGCUGGCGGAAUGCUUUACACAUGCAAGUCGAACGGUAGAGGGGGGCAACCCCUUGAGAGUGGCGAACGGGUGAGUAAUAUAUCGGAACGUGCCCAGUCGUGGGGAUAACGUAGCGAAAGUUACGCUAAUACCGCAUACGAUCUACGGAUGAAAGCGGGGGGACUCGCAAGAGCCUCGCGCGAUUGGAGCGGCCGAUAUCAGAUUAGGUAGUUGGUGGGGUAAAGGCUCACCAAGCCAACGAUCUGUAGCUGGUCUGAGAGGACGACCAGCCACACUGGAACUGAGACACGGUCCAGACUCCUACGGGAGGCAGCAGUGGGGAAUUUUGGACAAUGGACGCAAGUCUGAUCCAGCCAUUCCGCGUGCAGGAUGAAGGCCCUCGGGUUGUAAACUGCUUUUGUACGGAACGAAAGGUUUCUAUUAUACUAGGAGCU
rnacentral:rRNA from 1 species